AGAGUUUGAUCAUGGCUCAGGAUGAACGCUGGCGGCGUGCCUAACACAUGCAAGUCGAGCGAUCUUCUUCGGAAGAGAGCGGCGGACGGGUGAGUAACGCGUGGGUAACCUGCCUCAUACACAUGGAUAACAUACCGAAAGGUAUGCUAAUACAAGAUGAUAUAAGAGAUUCGCAUGGAUUUCUUAUCAAAGCUCCGGCGGUAUGAGGUGGACCCGCGUCUGAUUAGCUAGUUGGUAAGGUAACGGCUUACCAAGGCGACGAUCAGUAGCCGACCUGAGAGGGUGAUCGGCCACAUUGGAACUGAGACACGGUCCAAACUCCUACGGGAGGCAGCAGUGGGGAAUAUUGCACAAUGGGCGAAAGCCUGAUGCAGCAACGCCGCGUGAGCGAUGAAGGCCUUCGGGUCGUAAAGCUCUGUCCUCAAGGAAGAUAAUGACGGUACUUGAGGAGGAAGCCCCGGCUAACUACGUGCCAGCAGCCGCGGUAAUACGUAGGGGGCUAGCGUUAUCCGGAUUUACUGGGCGUAAAGGGUGCGUAGGUGGUUUCUUAAGUCAGGAGUGAAAGGCUACGGCUCAACCGUAGUAAGCUCUUGAAACUGGGAAACUUGAGUGCAGGAGAGGAAAGUGGAAUUCCUAGUGUAGCGGUGAAAUGCGUAGAUAUUAGGAGGAACACCAGUAGCGAAGGCGGCUUUCUGGACUGUAACUGACACUGAGGCACGAAAGCGUGGGGAGCAAACAGGAUUAGAUACCCUGGUAGUCCACGCCGUAAACGAUGAGUACUAGGUGUCGGGGGUUACCCCCCUCGGUGCCGUAGCUAACGCAUUAAGUACUCCGCCUGGGGAGUACGCUCGCAAGAGUGAAACUCAAAGGAAUUGACGG
rnacentral:rRNA from 1 species